rnacentral:rRNA from 1 species
UGGAACUGAGACACGGUCCAGACUCCUACGGGAGGCAGCAGUGGGGAAUAUUGCACAAUGGGGGGAACCCUGAUGCAGCCAUGCCGCGUGUAUGAAGAAGGCCUUCGGGUUGUAAAGUACUUUCGGUAAUGAGGAAGGUGGUGUAUCUAAUAGGUGCAUCAAUUGACGUUAAUUACAGAAGAAGCACCGGCUAACUCCGUGCCAGCAGCCGCGGUAAUACGGAGGGUGCGAGCGUUAAUCGGAAUGACUGGGCGUAAAGGGCAUGUAGGCGGAUAAUUAAGUUAGGUGUGAAAGCCCUGGGCUCAACCUAGGAAUUGCACUUAAAACUGGUUAACUAGAGUAUUGUAGAGGAAGGUAGAAUUCCACGUGUAGCGGUGAAAUGCGUAGAGAUGUGGAGGAAUACCGGUGGCGAAGGCGGCCUUCUGGACAGAUACUGACGCUGAGAUGCGAAAGCGUGGGGAGCAAACAGGAUUAGAUACCCUGGUAGUCCACGCUGUAAACGAUGUCGAUUUGGAGUUUGUUGCCUAGAGUGAUGGGCUCCGAAGCUAACGCGAUAAAUCGACCGCCUGGGGAGUACGGCCGCAAGGUUAAAACUCAAAUGAAUUGACGGGGGCCCGCACAAGCGGUGGAGCAUGUGGUUUAAUUCGAUGCAACGCGAAGAACCUUACCUGGUCUUGACAUCCACAGAAUCUUGCAGAGAUGUGAGAGUGCCUUCGGGAACUGUGAGACAGGUGCUGCAUGGCUGUCGUCAGCUCGUGUUGUGAAAUGUUGGGUUAAGUCCCGCAACGAGCGCAACCCUUAUCCUUUGUUGCCAUCGGUUCGGCCGGGAACUCAAAGGAGACUGCCGUUGAUAAAGCGGAGGAAGGUGGGGACGACGUCAAGUCAUCAUGGCCCUUACGACCAGGGCUACACACGUGCUACAAUGGCGUAUACAAAGGGAGGCGACCUCGCGAGAGCAAGCGGACCUCAUAAAGUNCGUCUAAGUCCGGAUUGGAGUCUGCAACUCGACUCCAUGAAGUCGGAAUCGCUAGUAAUCGUGAAUCAGAAUGUCAUCGGUGAAUACGUUCCCGGGCCUUGUACAACAGCCGCCCGUCACACCAUGGGAGUGGGUUGCAAC